CGCAUCUGUGCAUGCAGCAUAUCAAUAAGCGGAGGAAAAGAAACUAACAAGGAUUCCCCUAGUAACGGCGAGUGAAGCGGGAAGAGCUCAAAUUUGAAAUCUUAAAGGGUUUCCCUUUACGAAUUAGUAGUUUAAAGAAGUGUUUUCUGUUGAGGUUUUGGUAAAAGUUCUUUGGAAUAGGACAUCAUAGAGGGUGAGAAUCCCGUAUUUGACCUUUACUUUCAACUUUGUGAUACACUUUCAAAGAGUCGGAUUGUUUGGGAAUGCAGUCCAAAAUGGGUGGUAAAUUUCAUCUAAAGCUAAAUAUUGGCGAGAGACCGAUAGCGAACAAGUACCGUGAGGGAAAGAUGAAAAGAACUUUGAAAAGAGAGUUAAACAGUACGUGAAAUUGUCAAAAGGGAAGCGUUUGACACCAGUGUUGUUUUUCUGAAAAUCAAUUAAAGAACUGUUUAUGCUAAGCUGUUUAGACUUUAUCAGCUAACUGUUUAGUUUUGAGCUUUUCUUUAAUGCACUUUUCAGUUAACAAGUCAACAUCGAUUUCUUUUGCUGUAAAAAAGCUUGAGGAAGGUGGCUUGAGAUUCGUCUUAAGUGUUUAUAGCCUCUUGCCUAUGCAGUCGGAGAGAUUGAGGUCUGCAGCGUAGAUCCUUCGGGGCUAAAUGCAUUUGUGCUAAGUUAUAGCAUUUUAUAGACAACUUGUUGACUAUGAUUUGUCUUGUAGCUUACUCGCUUAUGUUAUUUUACCUACGCUUAGGAUGUUGAGUCAUCACACAUCUCU
rnacentral:rRNA from 1 species